GAUGAACGCUGGCGGCGUGCCUAAUACAUGCAAGUCGAGCGAACAGACGAGGAGCUUGCUCCUCUGACGUUAGCGGCGGACGGGUGAGUAACACGUGGAUAACCUACCUAUAAGACUGGGAUAACUUCGGGAAACCGGAGCUAAUACCGGAUAAUAUAUUGAACCGCAUGGUUCAAUAGUGAAAGACGGUUUUGCUGUCACUUAUAGAUGGAUCCGCGCCGCAUUAGCUAGUUGGUAAGGUAACGGCUUACCAAGGCGACGAUGCGUAGCCGACCUGAGAGGGUGAUCGGCCACACUGGAACUGAGACACGGUCCAGACUCCUACGGGAGGCAGCAGUAGGGAAUCUUCCGCAAUGGGCGAAAGCCUGACGGAGCAACGCCGCGUGAGUGAUGAAGGUCUUCGGAUCGUAAAACUCUAUUAGGGAAGAACAAAUGUGUAAGUAACUAUGCACGUCUUGACGGUACCUAAUCAGAAAGCCACGGCUAACUACGUG
rnacentral:rRNA from 1 species